rnacentral:rRNA from 1 species
GUGUCAGCAGCCGCGGUAACACGUAGGAGCCAAGCGUUAUCCGAAUUCACUGGGCGUAAAGCGCGUGCAGGCGGCACGGCAAGUUGGAUGUGAAAGCUCCUGGCUCAACUGGGAGAGGACGUUCAAUACUGUCGAGCUAGAGGACGGCAGAGGGAGGUGGAAUUCCCGGUGUAGUGGUGAAAUGCGUAGAUAUCGGGAGGAACACCAGUGGCGAAGGCGGCCUUCUGGGCCGUACCUGACGCUCAGACGCGAAAGCUAGGGGAGCAAACGGGAUUAGAAACCCCAGUAGUCC